UACAGGGGGGGCAAGCGUUGUUCGGAAUUACUGGGCGUAAAGGGCCAGUAGGCGGCCAACUAAGUCACACGUGAAAUCCCCAGGCUUAACCUGGGAACUGCGUGUGAUACUGGAUGGCUUGAAUUCGGGAGAGGGAUGCAGAAUUCCAGGUGUAGCGGUGAAAUGCGUAGAUAUCUGGAGGAACACCGGUGGCGAAGGCGGGUCUCUGGGCCGAUACUGACGCUGAGGAGCGAAAGCGUGGGGAGCGAACAGG
rnacentral:rRNA from 1 species